GGAAGAGUGGCCGAGUCUGGUUUAAGGCGCUACACUGGAAAUGUGGUUUGUGUGACUAAAAUCACGCAACGAGGGUUCAAAUCCCUCUUCUUCCUCCA
rnacentral:tRNA from 1 species